rnacentral:rRNA from 1 species
GCAUAACGCGAAGAACCUUACCUAGACUUGACAUCUCCUGAAUUACUCGUAAUGGAGGAAGCCCUUCGGGGCGAGGAAGACAGGUGGUGCAUGGUUGUCGUCAGCUCGUGUCGUGAGAUGUUGGGUUAAGUCCCGCAACGAGCGCAACCCUUGUUGUUAGUUGCUACCAUUAAGUUGAGCACUCUAACGAGACUGCCGCGGUUAACGCGGAGGAAGGUGGGGAUGGACGUCAAAUCAUCAUGCCCCUUAUGUCUAGGGCUACACACGUGCUACAAUGGCCGGUACAGAAAGAUGCAAACCCGUGAGGGGGAGCUAAACUCAAAAGCCGGUCCCAGUUCGGAUUGUAGGCUGAAACUCGCCUACAUGAAGUUGGAGUUGCUAGUAAUCGCGAAUCAGCAUGUCGCGGUGAAUACGUUCCCGGGUCUUGUACACACCG